CGCAAUUCCUACACACACAUAUAUGCUCCGUCUGCUGCUGCUGCUGAGCCGGCGGUGCUACAGUACCCCACCGCCACCGCCGGCGCCGUCAAAACUCCGAAAUAUCGGAGUUAUUGCGCACGUUGACGCCGGCAAAACUACAGUAACCGAGCGGUUACUGUACUUGGCUGGGGCUAUCCACGUGGCAGGCCACGUGGAUAAAGGGAAUACGGUCACCGAUUUUUUGGAUAUCGAGAGGGAACGGGGUAGGGAAAAUUGGAGGAAAAAAAUGAAGAAAAAUCGAUAAUUUUUUGCUAAAAAAUCAAUAAAAUUCUGAUUUUUUCGCCAAAAAUAAUCAAAAUUCAAAAUUUUCGAUUUUUUAGCCGAAAAAUUUGAAUUUUGACCGAUUUUUCAGGUAAAAAUUGGAAAUGAUUAAAAAAUUCCGAUUUUUUGGUCAAAAAAAUUGUCAAAAUUUGAAUUUUCAAUUUUCUCCAAUAUUUUAGUAAAAAUUCAAUUUUUGGCUAAUUUUUAUUAAAAUAAAUUCAAGAUUUUCAAAAUUUCGAUUUUUUUGGUUAAAAAAUCGAAAAAUUUCAAAAUUUUCGAUUUUUUGCCUAAAAAAUUGGCCAAUCAAAAAAUUUGAAUUUUGGCCAAUUUUUUGGACAAAAAAUCGAAAAAUUUUCAUUUUGGCCAAUUUUUAGGAAAAAAAUCAAAAAAAUUUGAAUUUUCCUCCAGAUAAAUUCAAGAUUUUCGAUUUUUUGCUUAAAAAAUUGGCCAAAAGUCAAAUUUUUUGAUCUUUUGGCCAAAAAUCAAUUUUUUGGAUUUAAAAAUUAUAAAAAAUCAAAUUUAUCGAUCUUUUAGUCAAAAAAUUGGUUAAAAGUCAAAAAACAAAAAAUUUGAAUUUUUUUAGCUAAAAAAUUGGCCAAAUUUCAAAAUUUUCGAUUUUUUGCCUAAAAAAUUGGCCAAAACUCAAAUUUUUCGAUUUUUUGUCCAAAAAAUUGGCCAAAAUUCAAAUUUUUGCCUAAAAAAUUGGUCAAAAAUUCGAAUUUAUUAAUUUUUUCUGCCAAAAAAUCAAAAAAUUUGAAUUUCGGCCAAUUUUCGACUAAAAAUAGAUCCAAAUUCAAAAUUUUCGAUUUUUGGCUAAAAAAUUGGUCAAAAAUCAAUUUUUUGGAUUUAAAAAUUAUAAAAAAUCAAAUUUAUCGAUCUUUUAGUCAAAAAAUUGGUUAAAAGUCAAAAAACAAAAAAUUUGAAUUUUUUUAGCUAAAAAAUUGACCAAAUUUCGAAUUUUCCGGUAUUUUGCCAAUUUUUGGCCAAAAAAUUUAUUAAAAUUCGAAUUUUCCGAUUUUUUGGCUAAAAAUUAGUAAAAAUCUUUUUUUUUUCGAUUUUUAGGCUAAAAAAUCAAUAAAAAAUCAAAUUUAUCGAUUUUUUUGCUAAAAAAUUACUCAAAAUUCAAAUUUUUUUUGCUAAUUUUUUCGAUUUUUGAGCCAAAAAAUCAAAAAAUUUGAAUUAUUUAGUAAAAAAAUUAAAAAAUUAUUUUUUUCGAUUUGUUAGUCAAAAAAUUGCUCAAAAUUCGAAUUUAUUAAUUUUUUAGGCAAAAAAUCGAAAAUUGGCCAAUUUUUUAGGCAAAAAAUCGAAAAUUGUGAAUUUUGGUCAAUUUUCAGUGAAAAAAUCAAAAAAAUUGAAUUUUUUGACCAAAAAUUGGCUAAAUUUCAAAUUUUUUUUAUUUUUUGCCUAAAAGCAAGAUUCAAAUUUUUUGAAUUUUUCACUAAAAAAUUGGCCAAAGGUUAAAUUUUUGGCAAAAAAUUAAAAUUGGUAAAAUUCAAAUUUUUCCUUUUUUUGCCUAAAAAAUCAAAAAAUUUGGUGUUUGGCCAAUUUUUUAGGGAAAAAAUAAAGUUUUGGCCAAUUUUCGGCUAAAAAAUAGUACAAAAUUCAAUUUUUGGCUGAUUUUGGCCAAUUAUUUGGCCAAAAAAUCAAAAAAAAUUGAAUUUUGGCCAUUUUUUAAAUAAAAAAUUGGUCAAAAUUCCAAAAUUUUCAAUUUUUUAGGCAAAAAAUUUGAAAUUUUCGAUUUUUCCGCUGAAAAAAUCGAAAAAAUCCAUAAAUUUCCAGGAAUCACAGUCCAAUCGGCGGCUGUAAAUCUCGACUGGAAAGGCCAUCGGAUCAAUUUAAUCGAUACACCGGGCCACGUGGAUUUUCGAGGUACAGUACUACUACAGUACCCCGCAUUGUCGUGGCGAGACCCAAAAAACCCGAAAUUUCAGUCGAAGUUGAGCGAUGUGUUCGUGUUCUUGACGGAAUUGUCGUAGUAAUCGAUGGAUCAGCGGGUGUUCAACCUCAAACUUUGACUGUUUGGCGGCAAAGCUCAAAAUUCAAACUUCCCGCGCACUUUUUCAUUAAUAAAAUGGACAAAUUGGCGGCAAAUUUCGAAAAUUCGGUGGAUUCUGUUGAGCAGAAGCUUGGCGUUCGAGCUGUGAAGCUUGUGGUGCCGCUACCCGAAAAUCGGGGAUUUAAUCGAGGAUUUCUGGACAUUUUACACUCAAAAAUGCUCCCCGGAAACUCCAAAAAUUGGCAAAAUCCCCCGAAAAACUCGCCAGAAGCCGAGUUGCUCGCCGAGCACAAGUCAGAGCUCUGCUUCACGCUGGCCGAUAGUCAUGCCGAUUUUCAGAGCAAAUUCCUCGAUGAAUUUGAUGGAAAUUCGGAGAAAAUUGACGUCAUCGAGAUGAAAAGUGUGCUCCGAGAGCUCACUUGCGCGUCGAAAAUCGCCACGAUUUCGUGUGGCUCGGCGGUGAAAAAUGUGCAUUGUGUGAAGCCGGUGCUCGACGCAGUUGUGGAUUUUUUCCCGGCGCCGGAGAUGAGGAAUCGGGAGUUUCGAGACGUUUUUGGAGAGGAUUUGAGUGGAUUGGUGUUUAAGG
rnacentral:sRNA from 1 species